rnacentral:rRNA from 1 species
GACGAACGCUGGCGGCGUGCUUAACACAUGCAAGUCGAACGAAGUGGCGAACGGGUGAGUAAUACGUGGGUAACCUGCCCUCCUUUUUGGGAUAAGCCUUGGAAACGGGGUCUAAUACCGAAUAAAGGGGGAUGGGCUCGCGGCCUAUCAGCUUGUUGGUGGGGUGAUGGCCUACCAAGGCGGUGACGGGUAGCCGGCCGGAGAUGGUGACCGGCCAAAUUGGAAGUGAGAUACGGCCGAGCCGCCUACGGGAGGGGGCGGUGGGGGAUAUUGCACAGUGGGGGAAAGCUUGAUGCGGCUACGCCGCGUGGGGUAUGAAGGCUUUGGGGUGGUAAACCUCUUUCGCUUUCGAAAGGGUAGGUGGAGAAGAAGCGCCGGCUACAUGCGUGCCAGCAGCGGCGGUAAUAC